AGCUGAACCAACCGUUCCCAUCGCAAGUUCAAAUCCAGGCCAGUGGACAUGGGAUAGCUCUAGUUGACGUAGCUGUAUUCUAUAAUGUCGAGAAAGAGCUCAGGAAACGAGAAUUACCCUCAUUUGAUAUUUCUAUAAACAUUAUGCAGCAAACAAUUGACUUGAUAGAGCUACAAAUCUGUACAAGAUGGCUUCUAGGAGGAUCAAGUGGAAUGACAGUUCAAGAGAUUGGAAUACCAACCGGUUUUGAACCGAAGACUGAUGAAAUUGCUCAUAUAUCUGUAGUAAAGAAAAUUGAGAAGGAAAAUAAAAAAGUUGUUUUAUAUUUUGAUGAG